rnacentral:rRNA from 1 species
UAGGGAAUAUUGGACAAUGGGCGAAAGCCUGAUCCAGCAAUGCCGCGUGAGUGAUGAAGGCCUUAGGGUUGUAAAGCUCUUUUACCCGGGAUGAUAAUGACAGUACCGGGAGAAUAAGCCCCGGCUAACUCCGUGCCAGCAGCCGCGGUAAUACGGAGGGGGCUAGCGUUGUUCGGAAUUACUGGGCGUAAAGCGCACGUAGGCGGCGAUCUAAGUCAGAGGUGAAAGCCCGGGGCUCAACCCCGGAAUAGCCUUUGAGACUGGAUUGCUAGAAUCCGGGAGAGGUGAGUGGAAUUCCGAGUGUAGAGGUGAAAUUCGUAGAUAUUCGGAAGAACACCAGUGGCGAAGGCGGCUCACUGGACCGGCAUUGACGCUGAGGUGCGAAAGCGUGGGGAGCAAACA